UCACUCCUACGGGACGCAGCAGUGGGGGAUAUUGGACAAUGGGGGAAACCCUGAUCCAGCGAUGCCGCGUGAGGGAAGAAGGUUUUCGGAUUGUAAACUUCUUUUGUCAAGGGACAAAAUCAGGCUCGAGAGCCUGACCGAGGGUACUUGAAGAAAAAGCAUCGGCUAACUCCGUGCCAGCAGCCGCGGUAAUACGGAGGAUGCGAGCGUUAUCCGGAUUUAUCGGGUUUAAAGGGUGCGUAGGCGGGCUGUUCAGUCAGCG
rnacentral:rRNA from 1 species